rnacentral:rRNA from 1 species
CCCUUAGAUGUUCUGGGCUGCACGCGUGUUACAAUCGGGAGUACAACAAGAUUGCAAAUCCUAGUGGAUGAGUGGUUCUUCGAAAUUUUCUGAAGACUGGGAUAGUUGAUUGAAAUUAUUCAACUCAAACGAGGAAUUCCUUGUAAUUGUAAUUCAUUAUACUGUAAUGAAUACGUCCCUGCCCUUUGUACACACCGCCCGUCGCUCCUACCGAUUGAACGAUCCGGUGAAUUAUUUGGAGUAGCUCUGGAAGUUGCAGAACUUCCUAUGUCACGAAAUUUUGUAAACCUUAUCGUUUAGAGGAAGGAAAAGUCGUAACA